CGAAAAAUCCGUCUUUAUCAUGCUCGAAAAUCAUCCUGGCUCAAUGGCAUGUCUGACCUUUUCUUGAGACUGAUGGACAUCAGUGAUCCAAAGAUACAGGCUUAUGUCCACUGCAAGAAAAAGAAGCACAACUCAGAGAUCUUGCCUGAACCCAUCAAGAAACUCUUGAAGAUGCCGGAACUUCAAAUUUCUAGAGAUGCCUCUGAUUCAGAAGAAGAAUAAAGAAGUCAAACAAAGCAACCAAAGCCUCUCAUAAGAAUUAAAAAAAUUCUCAUACAUUCCCAAUUUUGUUAUUUAUCUAAUGUUAUUAGUUUCAACCAGAUCAAACAAAAUUGAUAUGCUUAACUCUAUGUAAAAAAAUAUUUUCUUUGAUGUAAGCACUUAUGUUGUGCCUAAUAUAACCAACUAGAACCUCA
rnacentral:lncRNA from 1 species